rnacentral:rRNA from 1 species
GGAAGGGGUGUAUUUAUUAGAUAAAAAACCAACGCCCUUCGGGGCUUCUUGGUGAUUCAUGAUAACUUCACGGAUCGCAUGGCCUUGCGCCGGCGACGGUUCAUUCAAAUUUCUGCCCUAUCAACUUUCGAUGGUAAGGUAUUGGCUUACCAUGGUUUCAACGGGUAACGGGGAAUUAGGGUUCGAUUCCGGAGAGGGAGCCUGAGAAACGGCUACCACAUCCAAGGAAGGCAGCAGGCGCGCAAAUUACCCAAUCCCGACACGGGGAGGUAGUGACAAUAAAUACUGAUACAGGGCUCUUUUGGGUCUUGUAAUUGGAAUGAGUACAAUUUAAACCUCUUAACGAGGAACAAUUGGAGGGCAAGUCUGGUGCCAGCAGCCGCGGUAAUUCCAGCUCCAAUAGCGUAUAUUAAAGUUGUUGCAGUUAAAAAGCUCGUAGUUGAAACUUGGGCCUGGCUGGCAGGUCCGCCUCACCGCGUGUACUUGUCCGGCCGGGCCUUUCCUUCUGGAGAACCUCAUGCCCUUCACUGGGUGUAGUGGGGAACCAGGACUUUUAC